AAACCAACAGGGAUUGCCUUAGUAGCGGCGAGUGAAGCGGCAAUAGCUCAAAUUUGAAAUCUGGCGUCUUCGGCGUCCGAGUUGUAAUUUGAAGAAGGUAUCUUUGAGGCUGGCUCUUGUCUAUGUUCCUUGGAACAGGACGUCACAGAGGGUGAGAAUCCCGUGCGAUGAGAUGCCCAGUUUCGUGUAAAGUUCCUUCGACGAGUCGAGUUGUUUGGGAAUGCAGCUCUAAGUGGGUGGUAAAUUCCAUCUAAAGCUAAAUAUUGGCGAGAGACCGAUAGCGAACAAGUACUGUGAAGGAAAGAUGAAAAGAACUUUGAAAAGAGAGUGAAAAAGUACGUGAAAUUGUUGAAAGGGAAGGGCUUGAGGUCAGACUUGGUUUACCAGGCCAGCAUCAGUUUGGGUGGCAGGAUAAUAGCUAAGGAAAGUGGCACGAUUUCGGUUGUGUGUUAUAGCCUUGGUUGAUACUGCCUGCCUAGACUGAGGACUGCGUCUUUGACUAGGAUGCUGGCAUAAUGACCUUAAGCCGC
rnacentral:rRNA from 2 species